AUACGUAGGUGGCGAGCGUUAUCCGGAAUCAUUGGGCGUAAAGGGUGCGUAGGCGGCAGAUUAAGUUUGUGGUGAAAGAGCAAGGCUCAACCUUGUUAAGCCACAAAAACUGGUCAGCUAGAGUGCAGUAGAGGCAAGUGGAAUUCCAUGUGUAGCGGUAAAAUGUGUAGAUAUAUGGAGGAACACCGGUGGCGAAGGCGGCUUGCUGGGCUGUAACUGACGCUGAGGCACGAAAGCGUGGGGAGC
rnacentral:rRNA from 1 species